rnacentral:lncRNA from 1 species
AGAGACUGACCGAGUGAACUACAUCUGAUAUGAAGCGAACUUCUUCGAGAUGUUUUGGUUUUCAUUGAAUUUUUUUACUCUCAUUGGACUACAUGGUCAAUGUUUAGUGAGCUGCAUGAAAGGGGCAAAUGGGUUGCAUUAAAAAUUACAUUGCAUCAAAAGAAUGUUACCUCCCACCAACAUUAUUUUUGAUUUUUUUAAAGAACAAGUGAACCGCAUAAAAACACAAAGUAUUGCAUGAUCGAGCCAACCAAACUGCACCACAUUUUCUAUUUUAUGCCACUACCUAUGGUCGCUGAUGAUGUCCAUGGGCACAAACAUCCAUCCAUUGUUUUACACAGCCACACACACAUACAUACACACAAAAUCAGCACUAGCACCUGCCAGAGCUGCAAUAGAGGAUCAGCAGAACUGUAUUUGGGGACCAACCGAGCUGCACAAAAUCAAGAACCUGCAAAACUUGCAAGAAACCUACCAAAAUUGUCAUAAUUCCGAUGAUGCUUUCCUCACAGUACAGAAGUGCACUGCAUGGCGACUCGAUGAUGGCUGCCUGCGCUUGUUGUGUGGACUACUCCAGGAGACCUUGCGCUGCUCAUCCCGGAGAGGAGGAAUGGGGGAGUCGCCAAUGAUGGGGACGAAGUGAGCUGCAGUUCAACAAAAAAAUUACCAUGUGUGAAGAAAUGAGCUACAGUUGUACAUGCACACUAACGAACUACACGUGCAUACAUACUUAACUACACAACAAAGAUCGGUGAACCUCGUCUCCAACUUUGGUGUAGAUGUUGCCCGACAGGCGUGCAGGAAUGCCAGGGAGGAGGUGAUUGCACGCACGCCACGUUGGGACUGCAUGCAAGCCGUAUUGCACUGCACCUCCAGGGGUCCGAUCACACCCGUUUUGCUCUGAAUUGUACUGUGCCUCUUGCACAUAUUCAACAUUUAUCACCGGUCCAACUGCAAUUUGAGGACAAGCAAUUUUGUUAUAAUGAACUGUAAUCCUCAUGCACCACCAAAUUUUGGGUUUGCUUGACUGCAAGAACCUUGCAGCAAAAAAGGAGUCGCAAGCAGUGCGCACCAAACUGCACCACUGAAUCCGCUCGACGGGGACUGCAGAAUCCAAAAUCUGCAAAAAAAAAGAGCAAAAAAACCUUUUUAUGAAAUGCACACGGGCAACUACUACUCUUCUAGUGCAUUGUCGCCGUCGUUGACCAAACCACGCCGCAGCUGGAAAUACUGCACUUUCAGGGCCGUUUUCUACUGCAUUGAGAUUUUAUUAAACUGCAUUAGAGAAAAAAAUAUGAACGAGCUGCACGG